rnacentral:rRNA from 1 species
UACGGAGGGUGCAAGCGUUACUCGGAAUCACUGGGCGUAAAGGAUGCGUAGGCGGAAGAUCAAGUUGAGAGUGAAAUCCUAAGGCUUAACCAUAGAACUGCUUUC